GACGAACGCUGGCGGCGUGCUUAACACAUGCAAGUCGAACGGAAAGGCUCCAGCUUGCUGGCGUACUCGAGUGGCGAACGGGUGAGUAACACGUGGGUAAUCUGCCCUGCACUCUGGGAUAAGCCUGGGAAACUGGGUCUAAUACUGGAUAUGACCUUUCUCCUUAUGGGGUUUGGUGGAAAGUUUUUCGGUGUAGGAUGAGCCCGCGGCCUAUCAGCUUGUUGGUGGGGUGAUGGCCUACCAAGGCGACGACGGGUAGCCGGCCUGAGAGGGUGAUCGGCCACAUUGGGACUGAGAUACGGCUCAGACUCCUACGGGAGGCAGCAGUGGGGAAUAUUGCACAAUGGGCGGAAGCCUGAUGCAGCGACGCCGCGUGAGGGAUGACGGCCUUCGGGUUGUAAACCUCUUUCAGCAGGGACGAAGCGUAAGUGACGGUACCUGCAGAAGAAGCACCGGCUAACUAUGUG
rnacentral:rRNA from 1 species